rnacentral:lncRNA from 1 species
CCUGGGUUGGGUUUGCAUCAUCCCCAUUACACCCUCAGGAAAGAGGAGCCAGCCCCCUUUCAAGCCUUAGCUUCCGGCUCCAAGCCGACCCCCUCCCCCUCCCUGUCCCCUUCCCCUUCUCCCAUCCCUCUCUGGGCCACAGCGUCUUGUUAGUCCUCUCCCUCUACUCCGCAAUAUUUUCUUUCUUUCUCCCUCCUCUCCUCCAUUUGUUGUUUGAUGUUUCCCACUCUUUGAGGAAGGAUGGUUGAUUUGGAGAGCGAAGUGCCCCCUCUGCCUCCCAGGUACAGGUUUCGAGAUUUGCUGCUAGGGGACCAAGGAUGGCAAAACGAUGACAGAGUACAAGUUGAAUUCUAUAUGAAUGAAAAUACAUUUAAAGAAAGACUAAAAUUAUUUUUCAUAAAAAACCAGAGAUCAAGUCUAAGGAUACGCCUGUUCAAUUUUUCUCUCAAAUUACUAAGCUGCUUAUUAUACAUAAUCCGAGUACUACUAGAAAAUCCUUCACAAGGAAAUGAAUGGUAAGGUACCUUUUCCUGACCUUCAGCAAUAUUAUUUUGAUUAUUUUGAGUU